rnacentral:rRNA from 1 species
UACGAAGGGGGCUAGCGUUGCUCGGAAUCACUGGGCGUAAAGGGUGCGUAGGCGGGUCUUUUAAGUCAGGGGUGAAAUCCUGGAGCUCAACUCCAGAACUGCCUUUGAUACUGAAGAUCUUGAGUUCGGGAGAGGUGAGUGGAACUGCGAGUGUAGAGGUGAAAUUCGUAGAUAUUCGCAAGAACACCAGUGGCGAAGGCGGCUCACUGGACUGGUAUUGACGCUGAGGUGCGAAAGCGUGGGGAGCAAACAGGG